AUUAAUCAUAAAAUGACUAGACUAACUCAUAUAAUUUUGAAAUUACUAGACUAACUCUCGAGGCAUGCAACUUUACGAUUUUGCCAUCACUAAUAAUUAAACCAUGAUUUUUUUUUGAUCAACCAUUAAACCAUAAUUAAAAAAUAUAUAUAUUUAAUAUUAUAAGAAAAAAACAAAUACUUUACGUCUUUAGCAUUUCUCCACCGAUGUCGACGAAACGCUCUUCUCGUCGUCUCGUCAUCUCCAUCUCUGACGCUCCCUUUUCCCUCACCGGCUUCGUCUCCGUCACCUCUACCGUGACUCGGACUUUGUCUCCGCCAUCCUCCACGAUAACUCACCUUCGUCUCUUUCCUAUUGGACAAACCCGAAAUCGAUUUCACCUCAGUCACAGGCUUCAACUACAAUCUACUCUAAUCUGUCUAUGAACUAGUGUGGUACUUGAAACCACCAAAACAAACUCUAUGUUAACAAGUCUGUCCUCAAUAAGGAGGCCCCCAGGAUGGCCAAAGCUGUUGCCAACCAGGCAGUGGACAACUACUACAAACCUGAUUUAAAGAAGACAGCACUUGCUAGGUGCAGCGUGAUCAGCAAAGGCCUUAGAGUCGCCAAGUCUCAUCUCAAGAAGAGGAACAUGCAGGCUUGAAGAUUUGGCCAUUGACUGAAGAUUUUACUUCUGAAAAAGCUAUGAUUUGUGAUUUCAGACAAAAUUUUAUAGGUUAUAAAGAUUUUUCAUGGAUAGUUCAGUUUCUUGCUUGUAACACCUCCACUGUUAUGUUUUUUUUUCUCAGAAUGAUAUUAAAUAAAAAGUAGUAAGCUGGUUGCUGUC